rnacentral:lncRNA from 1 species
CUCAGACAUCACAAAUACUGUAGGUUCAUGUCUGUAAGCAUCCUGUUGAUGGGCAUCGUGGGACCAAUUACUGCUGGAAUCUUGACAAGUGCAGCAGUUGCUGGGGUCUAUAGAGCAACAGGGAAGGAGAUGAUCCCCUUUGAAGCCCUCACCCUGGGCACUGGGCAGACGUUCUACAUAGUGGAAGUCUCUUUUUUAUGGAUUUCAGCUACUCUAUAG